rnacentral:misc_RNA from 1 species
GAUGAAGAAACGUAGCGAAAUGCGAUAAGUAAUGUGAAUUGCAGAAUUCAGUGAAUCAUCGAAUCUUUGAACGCACAUUGCGCCCGCCAGUAUUCUGGCGGGCAUGCCUGUUCGAGCGUCAUUUCAACCAUCAAGCCCUGCUUGCGUUGGGGUCCUGCGGCUGCCCGCAGGCCCUGAAAACCAGUGGCGGGCUCGCUAGUCACACCGAGCGCAGUAAUACAUCUCGCUUUGGGCGUGCGGCGGGUUCUUGCCGUUAAACACCCCCUUUUUACCAAGGUUGACCUCGGAUCAGGUAGGAAUACCCGCUGAACUUAAGCAUAUCAAUAAGCGGAGGA